AGCGUGGGUGAUGAAAACUUAACCUUAGGCAGGUCUUUUUUUGUACCCGUUUUGGGUCAAAGCUGGGGCCUACCAAUGUUAGGGUUGUCAUAGUUACUCUGACACGCU